AGUAUUGCUUGAACCCGGGAGGCAGAGGCUGCAGUGAGCCAAGGUUGCACCACUGCACUCCAGCCUGGGCAAGACAGAGCGAGACUCCGUCUCAAAAAAGAAAAGUGGGUCUGGGGAGAUGGCCGUGGUGAGGGAGAGAGUGCAGUCAGGGGUUUAUGGCUGUGCUUGGGCUGAUGUGCUCGCUGUACACCCAGAAAGAAGAGGAGAAGCGGCCACAAUGGAAGGAUGUUUAGAAGGCAGAUGGACAGCACAAUGCGACCGGGCAGUCGUGGGCUAUGAGAGGGUCUGAAGGACGUCUCCCUGGCUUCCCUCUGUUUUGUCCCUUAGCCCCUCACUGUUAAAUCAGAAGAUUUUGGUCCUAAUCUGAUCUCUUUAAGAAUUUUGGAAUCUUGCGAGAAAACUGAAUUGCUCAGUUAUCUUUCUCUCUGGACCCCACACUUUUCUAAGAGCUUUGUAGGUCAAAUACCUUAACUCUGAGGCACUAUAACAACUCAUAGGACGGAAAAGUGGGAAAAGGAAUAUAUGUUUCAAAGAGGGAUGAACAGUGUAAAAUCAAUCUGGGGUCUGGAGAGAAAUAAUCUUUUCCACCGAGGCAGUUUUCCUUAAAUGCUUUCUACUAUGAUGGAAUUUGAAUAAUAAAAACAGUCAUAGCCACUUGGUAUUUCAACACAGUUAUGGGAGCUGGAAUUAAAGUGAAUGAUGACUGGUGUGCCAAAUAAUAAAGUGUUUCCAAAAUAUUAAUACUCACAACAACCCUUUGAGAUAGGUACUAACUAGGCACUCUUCCAACCUAGUGCUCUGCCAUCAUUAAGGAAAGUGUGCUAAAGGAAGGAAACUCCCUAGAACGUUGGAAAGCAGCAGCUCUGGUUCUGCUAAACCAAGCUUGCCUGGUCACGCUUUAGGGCAGUCGUUAUUGGUGUGGGCUCUGUGGUCAGAGCUCAAAGAUGCAAAUCCCAUCUCUGCCAUGACUGGUACUUGUGUUGUGGAUUGUGGUGGAGUUUAGAGCCUGAAGAGCCAGUCGGG
rnacentral:lncRNA from 1 species